GAUGAACGCUGGCGGCGUGCCUAAUACAUGCAAGUCGAGCGAAAAGACGAGGAGCUUGCUCCUCUGACGAUAGCGGAGGACGGGAGAGUAACACGUGGAUAAUCUACCUAUAAGAGUGGGAAAACUUCGGGAAAGCGGAGAAAAUAGCGGAUAAGAUAUUGAACCGCAGGGUGGAAUAGUAAAAGACGGUGGUGCGGGAAGGAAUAGAGGGAUACGAGCCGCAUGAGCUAGUUGGUCAGUUAAAGGGUUACCAAGGCAACGAGGCGUAACCGACUUCAGGGGCGGAUCGCCCACACUGGAACUGAGACACGCUCCAUGCUCCUACGAUACGCAGCAGUCUGGUACCUUCCGCAGUGGUGGAGAGCCUGACGGAGCGACGCGGCGUGAGUUAUGAAGGCCUUCGGUUCGUAAAACUCUGUUAUUAGUGAAGAACCAAUUUGUAAGGAACUGUGCACUUCUUGACGGUACCUAAUCAGAAAGCCACGGCUAACUACGUG
rnacentral:rRNA from 1 species